rnacentral:misc_RNA from 1 species
UCUCCGUAGGUGAACCUGCGGAGGGAUCAUUACCGAGUGAGGGUUCACAGCCCGACCUCCCACCCUUUGUGAUUAUACCAUGUUUCCUCGGGGGUUACCUCGCGCCCUCGCGGCGAGAGGGCCCCCGGCGGACAAUUCAUUAACUCUGCGUCUCAUGCGUCAGUUUAAUUGAUAAAUAUAUUAAAACUUUCAACAACGGAUCUCUUGGUUCUGGCAUCGAUGAAGAACGCAGC